rnacentral:rRNA from 1 species
GAUGAACGCUAGCGGCAGGCUUAACACAUGCAAGUCGAGGGGUAUAGUUCUUCGGAAUUAGAGACCGGCGCACGGGUGCGUAACGCGUAUGCAAUCUACCUUUCACAGAGGGAUAGCCCCAGAGAAAUUUGGAUUAAUACCUCAUAGUAUAGCAGUUUCGCAUGAAACCACUAUUAAAGUCACAACGGUGAAAGAUGAGCAUGCGUCCCAUUAGCUAGUUGGUAAGGUAACGGCUUACCAAGGCAACGAUGGGUAGGGUCCUGAGAGGGAGAUCCCCCACACUGGUACUGAGACACGGACCAGACUCCUACGGGAGGCACGCAGUGAGGAAUAUUGGACAAUGGGCGCAAGCC